rnacentral:rRNA from 1 species
GACGAACGCUGGCGGCGUGCUUAACACAUGCAAGUCGAACGAUGAAGCACUUCGGUGUGGAUUAGUGGCGAACGGGUGAGUAACACGUGAGCAACCUGCCCUUCACUUCGGGAUAACUUCUGGAAACGGAUGCUAAUACCGGAUAUGACCAGUCUACGCAUGUGGGUUGGUGGAAAGAUUUUUUGGUGGGGGAUGGGCUCGCGGCCUAUCAGCUUGUUGGUGGGGUAGUGGCCUACCAAGGCUUUGACGGGUAGCCGGCCUGAGAGGGCGACCGGCCACACUGGGACUGAGAUACGGCCCAGACUCCUACGGGAGGCAGCAGUGGGGAAUAUUGCACAAUGGGCGGAAGCCUGAUGCAGCAACGCCGCGUGCGGGAUGACGGCCUUCGGGUUGUAAACCGCUUUCACCAGGGGCGAAUUGUGACGGUACCUGGAGAAGAAGCACCGGCUAACUACGUG